UAACCUAGUGGGCAGACGGGUGAGUAACACGUGGUCAACCUUCCCUUUAGUGGGGGAUAACUAGCCGAAAGGUUAGCUAAUACCGCAUACCAUCUGAACCCGGCAUCGGGAAUAGAUGAAAGGAGCAAUCCGCUUAAGGACGGGACCGCGUCCCAUUAGUUAGUUGGUGGGGUAACGGCCUACCAAGACUCCGAUGGGUAGCUGGUUUGAGAGAGCGACCAGCCACACUGGGACUGAGAAACGGCCCAG
rnacentral:rRNA from 1 species